CAAACAUUGGAUGUUACUCAAAUAAUUAAGUGCUUUGCUAAAAAAUUUAGAUUUUACUUUAGCGUGAUUUUCAAGUUUCAGUAGUGGCAUGGAAUUUAGGUAGUCAGCUUUUUUGGAGAUAGAGAAAAACAAAAAGUAUUUUUAAAGAUCUGCAUUAAGAUGCAGUGCAGCUUGUGUUAUAUAAGUAGAAGUAGUGUAUACGCACAUACGUAUACAGAAGUAACUAAAAUGAACUCUUGUAUACUAGCAGAUAGGUGCAUAUGUAGAAUAAUGUUUAUUGGAGCAGAAAUUUAUUUUGAAAGUAAAUUUAUGAUUUACUCCUAAACAAUUUUUAAUGUUUGUUAAUAUGUUUCAGUGAUGA
rnacentral:lncRNA from 1 species